CGACCGGCGAACGGGUGAGUAACGCGUAUGCAGCCUGCCUAUAACCGGGGAAUAGCUUUCGGAAACGGAAAUUAAAACCCCAUAAUGUUGAGAGAUGGCAUCAUCAUUCAACUAAAACUCCGGUGGUUACAGAUGGGCAUGCGUAACAUUAGCUAGUUGGAGAGGUAACGGCUCACCAAGGCUACGAUGUUUAGGGGACCUGAGAGGGUGAUCCCCCACACUGGUACUGAGACACGGACCAG
rnacentral:rRNA from 1 species